GCUAAGCAGGCGAACUGUGGGCAGCUGCUCCAACGUGACACCUCCAGGGAACACCUGCAGUUUUCUCCAGGUGGCCGUGCGACUCCAGCCCGCCCCUCCCCUCCAGGGGUGGACAGAAGAUUGAGGAUGAUGCAAACCACUGCAGUAUCCUGGCAGAUGAAAACAGCAGUCCUUUUAGAAGAGACCUAGGCCAACACUGAAAAACCACACAGAAUUUUAGCAGUGUCUGGAGACAUUUUUGGUGGUCACAUUUGGUGUUUGGAGCUCUGCGCUACUGUCAUCUAAUGGAAGAGGCCAAGAUGUUGCUGAAUAUCCUGCAAGGGAUUGGAUAUACCCCCACAACAAAGAAUUAUUCAGCCCAAAAUGUUAGUUGGUCUAAGGUUGGUAUCCUAGUAGUGUUUAUACCACCUUGCUCCCAACUACCCUCUUCACGUUAGACUUUCCAGUUGUAAUGAAUAAUUGGCCUUCAGUUAGCUUUUAAUUAUGAAUUGGAGUUUCUUUUAAGUUUUGUUGUGUUAUAAAUAAGAGAUUUUAGAAAAUGGAGGGCAAAAAGGGAAAAACAAGUAUUUAGUUUCUUUAACUAUGGGAAUUUACAUUCUUUGUCUAAAAAACAGGUAUUUUGACUUGCAAAGAUAUUUAAGAAAAAUAUUAGCUCUUUUGUGGAGCUUGUGAGUUGCCCCUAGGGUGAAAGCCUAAUGACUCAGAACUAAUUUAAAAGGCUAAGAAGCCCAAACCAGAAAACACAGAAAGGCUCUGGAUGAUUGGAAGCAAACUAUAAUUAUGCUACAGGGGCUGAUGUACAAGGUUCAUGUCGUGGAGCAUUUACUUAAUAACUUUCAUCCAAAGAUCUCAAAUCCUUGGCAUAAACACUUCAAUUGUCAUAAAGAAAAUCUCUCUUUUUGCUACCACAUUGCAACUUCAAGCUUUUUCUGUGUAACCUGAAAGCAUUUGUCAUGAACCAUUUUAGGGCUAAGUUUUUCUAACAGUCAGCUUCUCCUUGCUUUGACCUUUCAUUGUGGUUCUGUUAAGUCUGAUGAAAACCUGCAUAGUCAUUUUGGUAAUGACAUUUUUAAUGUUGCUUGCCAGAAUAUGCUUCACUGGCCCAGUCUUGUCAUUUUGGAUGGAGAGAGGUGAGGACCAAUGUGAUCACAAUGUAAAUCAUUUGGUUCUAGUGUAUAAAUAAAAAUCUGCAAGGCUUAGUCAUUGGAAGAGAACUAUUUGAUAUCAUAUAGAAAUCAUAAGCAGAUUGACAUAGAACAGGUAUACUGUGUUAAAUUAGAGACAUUUAAUUUAAUGUAACAAUUUUUUUAAAAGAAUCUCUUUUCUGAUAACAAAAGUAACACGAUUAUUAUGACGCAUUUGGAAAAUGUAGAAAGGAGCUAAGAAGAAAAUGAACAUAGACUGUAAUAACCCAUAACCUUGGUGCUCAAAGAUAACCAUACUUCAUAGUCCUUCCAUAAAACACAACUUAAAAUGAAACUUGUUUUAUUUCACCAGUGAGUUUGUGUAUCUAUUUCUUCACCAAAACAUGAAAACCAUUGUAGAUGUGUUGCUUAAAUAAAUAACACAGAAAGAA